rnacentral:rRNA from 1 species
GAAUAAGCCACGGCUAAUUUCCGUGCCAGCAGCCGCGGUAAUACGGGAGUGGCAAGCGUUAUCCGGAAUUAUUGGGCGUAAAGCGUCCGCAGGCGGCCUUGUAAGUCUGUCGUUAAAGCGUGGAGCUUAACUCCAUUUAAGCGAUGGAAACUACAAGGCUUGAGUGUGGUAGGGGCAGAGGGAAUUCCCGGUGUAGCGGUGAAAUGCGUAGAUAUCGGGAAGAACACCAGUGGCGAAGGCGCUCUGCUGGGCCAUAACUGACGCUCAUGGACGAAAGCCAGGGGAGCGAAAGGGAUUAGAUACCCCUGUAGUCCUGGCCGUAAACGAUGAACACUAGGUGUCGGGGGAAUCGACCCCCUCGGUGUCGUAGCUAACGCGUUAAGUGUUCCGCCUGGGGAGUACGCACGCAAGUGUGAAACUCAAAGGAAUUGACGGGGGCCCGCACAAGCGGUGGAGUAUGUGGUUUAAUUCGAUGCAACGCGAAGAACCUUACCAGGGUUUGACAUCCUGCGAAUCCCUUGGAAACGAGGGAGUGCCUUCGGGAGCGCAGAGACAGGUGGUGCAUGGCUGUCGUCAGCUCGUGUCGUGAGAUGUUGGGUUAAGUCCCGCAACGAGCGCAACCCACGUCUUUAGUUGCCAGCAUUCAGUUGGGCACUCUAGAGAGACCGCCGGUGAUAAACCGGAGGAAGGUGUGGAUGACGUCAAGUCAUCAUGCCCCUUACAUCCUGGGCUACACACGUACUACAAUGCUACGGACAAAGGGUUGCAAGCUCGCGAGAGUUAGCUAAUCCCAUAAACCGUGGCUCAGUUCAGAUCGUAGGCUGCAACUCGCCUACGUGAAGGAGGAAUCGCUAGUAAUCGCAGGUCAGCAUACUGCGGUGAAUACGUUCCCGGGCCUUGUACACACCGCCCGUCACACCAUGGAAGUUGGCCAUGCCCGAAGUCGUUACUCCAACCCUUGUGG